rnacentral:rRNA from 1 species
AGCAGCCGCGGUAAUUCCAGCUCCAAUAGCGUAUAUUAAAGUUGUUGCAGUUAAAAAGCUCGUAGUUGAAUUUCGGGGUUAGUAGGUUGGUCAUGCCUCUGGUAUGUACUGGUCUCACUGAUUCCUCCUUCCUGAUGAACCUUAAUGCCAUUUAUUUGGUGUUUUGGGGAAUUUGGACUGUUACUUUGAAAAAUUAGAGUGUUUAAAGCAAGCUAACGCUUGAAUACAUUAGCAUGGAAUAAUGAAAUAGGACGUUCGAUCCUAUUUUGUUGGUCUCUAGGAUUGACGUAAUGAUUAAUAGGGAUAGUUGGGGGCAUUAGUAUUCAAUUGUCAGAGGUGAAAUUCUUGGAUUUAUUGAAGACUAACUACUGCGAAAGCAUUUGCCAAGGAUGUUUUCAUUAAUCAAGAACGAAAGUUAGGGGAUCGAAGACGAUCAGAUACCGUCGUAGUCUUAACCAUAAACUAUGCCGACUAGGGAUCGGAUGAUGUUAAUUUUUAAUGUACUCA